GACAGAGAGCCGGAGGCAUUGCUCCUGGAUCCUGCUUCUGUGGGUUUCUGUGCUCAAAGCAGUCUGACCUUCUCAGACCUCUCUCAGAUAGCCCCAGCAACAGAAGCCACUACGACCACCAAGACAAUACCCAAGAGGUGUGCUUUCAAGACACUUGGAUAUGUAUUGAUCCCAGAGAGGCUUGUAACCUCCUGGUAAGGCUUUAGUACUUCAUAUCCUUUGGAGAGAGCAGAAAGGCAGAAGCUUAUGGAGUACGAGUGAUUUGCCUGGAGUCCUAGGGUUUCUGGGAACAGAAAAGCUAUGCGUUACAUACAGAUCUCCUGUUCGCUUCUGGUUCUCAGAACCAAAAGUGUUGCAACCAGAAGGAGCUCAGAGCUCAGGAGUUUGAACUGGCUCUGUGUGAACUAAAAUCCAGAUGCCUAGACUCUGGUCACCAAUCAGUUGAUAUUGAAAGUCAAGUGCCCUCAGGGAUGGGACUGGCUUUAGACCUCAAGGAACACAGGAUGGCGUGUUCUCCUAACCACCAGGAGUUCCAAGUGGCUAAACACGUCUGUUGUCAAAAUGAUAUCCUCCAGCACGGGGUGAGGAAUGCAGAUCCCAGAAGGCUUAUUAGAUCUGUAGACCCGGAUCCUGGCUGGGGAUUGAACCGCAUCUCAAACGGACUCUUCAAUCUUUAGGCAACAUGUCCCAGAAGACUGGAAAACGUUUCUCUAACAAGAAAACUGAGGUCUUGAAAGGGCCCCGGCCUGAGCCAGAAACAGUUGUCCCUACCCCCUCAACCCUAGCUCUGUUUGGUGACUGUGGUGGGGUUGCCAGGGGAACCAGGCUGUGCAACUUCCUGGCUUUGGCGUUUUUCCCCGAUGUUGGCCUUAUCUCGGCAUCCGCCACCCAGUCCAGGGCUGCGUGCUGGUCACGUAGGAGGGGAAGUGGGUGCCAGGCGUAUUGAGGACACCAAGAGAACACUGGCCCAAGUAUCAGAUGGGCAGGAGGGUGGUGAAUGGGAAGUUCGAGAGGUCCAGGAGGGUGGGCACGGGUUCAUUAAUGUCUUUCUCUAUGGCUUGGGAGGUUCCUGGCAAAUGAGGAUGUGAAGAAUUGUGACUAGUCAGGGGCUUUUUCUGCCCUAACUCUCAGCUCUCAGCUCUCUCACAGCCGGAUCCCAGCAUCACCUGCAUGUCUGCUCCACUCCAGACCUACAGUCUCCAGCCCCAAGCACACCCAGUGGUCCCUACCCCAACACCAUCAACCCUGCUUCUGAAGUUCUAUGCACUUCGGCUCUUUCUGCCUGGUUCAAGAUUACUUUCUGUGUUUUGUGUUUCUCCUUUCUCCCCAUUGCAGUUCAGUCUCUUGGGCAGUCAUGAAGAACAGGAAAGAGAAAAGGGGGGUUUUUGAAGACAGAUGGAACGCAGCUAGCAGUUUAAGUGAAGUAAUUCGUGCAUUUAAGCAUUUAUUUAUGUUUUGAGCCUUAUUUUGAUUUGAAAAGAAUUUAGGGUGGUUUGGAGAAUUUAAGUGUUCCAGGAAAGGCGGCGAGUGAUGCAACUUUCAAGCUUCAUACAGUUUAG
rnacentral:lncRNA from 1 species